GCUCGCUCAGUUGGUUAUAGCUUGGUGCUGAUAACGCCAAGGUUGCAGGUUUGAUCCCUCUAUGGGACA
rnacentral:tRNA from 1 species